rnacentral:rRNA from 1 species
GGGUUGUGAGGUUAAGCGAAUAAGCGUACACGGUGGAUGCCUAGGCAAUCAGAGGCGAUGAAGGACGUGCUA